ACAAUAGUGAACACUUUCCCUAUGAUCCAAUAGGAAAGACAGAAAUCAUCUGACAUGAACAUGGAAAACCGCACCCUAUGGCCAAGCAAGGUACAGAAUAUUGAAAGAUGAGAGAGAGAGAGAGAGAGAGAGGAGGAAGACAAAGGAAGAGGGAGGAGAAGAGAGGAGAGGAGGGAGGAGGAGAGAGAAAGGAGAAAGGAGAGGGAGAGUUAGAGAAGGAUGGAGUGGGAAGAGAGAAGAGGGGAAGGAGGGGAGAGAGUGGGGAGUGGGAGAGCGACGGGGUGGGGUGCAGUGGGGAGGAACUGGAUAGAGGAUUUGCGAAGAUACUGGUUCUCAUUGUGGAUAAGUGAGUUUUUCAGGAGCGUCCCCUCUGAUUGUAGGAACUGUGGUCUCUGGGUGCCCAGUGCUCUCUUCAGAGAAACAGGGAAACUGCUGCGGAUGCAGGGUCAAGAUCCCCUCAGAUGCUCCCUUUCAUGUGCUGAAGUGUUAGUUGUGGCCCCAUUAACACUCUGUGAUGGGCGCCUUGGAGGAGCGGAGAGAGAAGCCCAGCUGAGGAAACCAGUGACCAUCUGCAGAGACAGUCUAUGGUUGGCCUUUAUUUCUAAAGAAAAACCCUGGGCCUUACUUUCGUUGUUUCCAGCCCCCGCAAAUGAAAUGUCAAAAAAAUUGCCAGUGCUCUACCACUGA
rnacentral:lncRNA from 1 species